rnacentral:misc_RNA from 1 species
AAGUCGUAACAAGGUUUCCGUAGGUGAACCUGCGGAAGGAUCAUUAAUGAAAGAUAAUUUUUUGGGGUUUUCCCUGAAAAAUAAUUCACCUUUUGUGCACUGUUUUUAGAUAUGCUUUGGUUAGAGCUUUGAUUUCAUUUACUGGAAUCAACUUCUCGCUGACUCUAUCCUUUUUAAAGGACAGUUGGCUAUGAAGCGGCCUACCAAAGUUUUUAUCAAACUCUUGCAUUUUGUCUGACCUAAAAUAUCAAUAAUUAAAUAACUUUCAACAACGGAUCUCUUGGCUCUC